GACGAACGCUGGCGGCGUGCCUAAUACAUGCCAGUAGAACGCUGAAGGUGGAGCUUGCUACUCUGGAUGAGUUGCGAACGGGUGAGUAACGCGUGGGGAACCUGCCUGGUAGAGGGGGGGAACUCUUGGAAACGCUAGCUAAUACCGCAUAAUAUUGACUAUUUCAUGAUAGUCAGUUGAAAGGUGCACCAGCACCACUACCAGAUGGACCUGCGUUGUAUUAGCUAGUUGGUGGGGUAACGGCUCACCAAGGCGACGAUACAUAGCCGACCUGAGAGGGUGAUCGGCCACACUGGGACUGAGACACGGCCCAGACUCCUACGGGAGGCAGCAGUAGGGAAUCUUCGGCAAUGGACGGAAGUCUGACCGAGCAACGCCGCGUGAGUGAAGAAGGUUUUCGGAUCGUAAAGCUCUGUUGUAAGAGAAGAACGAGUGUGAGAGUGGAAAGCUCACACUGUGACGGUAUCUUACCAGAAAGGGACGGCUAACUACGUG
rnacentral:rRNA from 1 species